rnacentral:ribozyme from 1 species
CUAGUUUGUUCGUGAGAAUAGACUAGUCUUCAGAAGAUGACAAGCCUGUGGGGCGUAAAUAGAUAUGUCUUGUCAAAAGAAUUAGGCCUACAUAAUUCGAUUGAGUCCAAGGUGUAGGAACAUAUCUAUGAUCGUGCGGACGUAAAAAUCAGGU